rnacentral:rRNA from 1 species
CGGCCGCGGUACCUUGACCGUGCUAAGGUAGCAUAAUCCCUUGCCUCUUAAUUAGUGGCUAGUAUGAAUGGAUAAACGAAAAUUACGCUGUCUCUAUAGAUUUCCUAAAAAUUAUCCUUCAAGUGAAGAGACUUGAAUUUUUAUAAAAGACAAGAAGACCCUGCAGAGCCUAAAUCUAACUUAAACACAAAAAUAAAAUUAAAAUAUGCCUUUAAAUCAAUUUCAGUUGGGGCGACUAGGGAAUAAAAAAACCUUCCUUUACCUUACCAGGCCCAUUCGCCAUAAUUUAGAUCCAUAACCAUAUGAUCAAAAACCCAGGCUACCUCAGGGAUAACAGUCUAAUCUUCCUCAAGAGUUCACAUUGACAGGAAGGAUUGGCACCUCGAUGUUGGCUUAGGGGCCCUUCAAGAUGCAGCCGCCUUGAAAGUAGGUUUGUUCAACCUUUAAUACCCUACGUGAUC